AUUUUUUCUUUCUAGACAUUUAUAAAGCAUUUCUUUUCUUUGUAGGUCUUACAAAUCUCUAAUGUAAGGUGCUUAAUUUAAGAACCAAGUAUUAAAAUGGAAUGUUCCACAGAGACUUAUAUAAUACAACAACCUCAGAGACAAAAGACUUUUCUGCCUGGGAUUAAGCACCUCCAGUUCCUGGGAGUGCAGAUGCUCACCAAGCACAGCUGGAACCAGACCUUGGCAGAAAGAAGUAUUUCAGGCAAGCCGAAAAUUUUACAGUUAAUACAGUGUGACGGAUCUUGACCAACUUUGUGGGCUCAGUGAUAAUACAAAGGUUUUCUUUUCACAUUGUGGUGGCCUCUUUUCUUUAAG